rnacentral:rRNA from 1 species
AGUGAACGCUGGCGGUAGGCCUAACACAUGCAAGUCGAACGGCAGCACAGUAAGAGCUUGCUCUUACGGGUGGCGAGUGGCGGACGGGUGAGUAAUACAUCGGAAUCUACUUUUUCGUGGGGGAUAACGUAGGGAAACUUACGCUAAUACCGCAUACGACCUACGGGUGAAAGCAGGGGAUCUUCGGACCUUGCGCGAUUGAAUGAGCCGAUGUCGGAUUAGCUAGUUGGCUGGGUAAAGGCCCACCACGGCGACGAUCCGUAGCUGGUCUGAGAGGAUGAUCAGACAGAUGGGAACAGAGAAACGGUAGAGACACCGACGGGGGGAAGCAGUGGGGAAUAUUGGACAAGGGGCGAAAGGGUGAUCCAGCAAUACCGCGGGAGUGAAGAAGGACUUAGGGUUGUAAAGCCCUUUUGUUGGGAAAGAAAAGCAGCAGGUUAACACCCCGCUGUUAUGACGGUACCCAAAGAAUAAGCACCGGCCAACUUCGUG